UACGUAGGGACCAAGCGUUGUUCGGAUUUACUGGGCGUAAAGCGUGCGCAGGCGGUUCGUUAAGUCAGCUGUGAAAGCCCCGGGCUCAACCUGGGAAUUGCGGUUGAAACUGGCGAACUAGAAUCUGGCAGAGGGGGGUGGAAUUCCACGUGUAGCAGUGAAAUGCGUAGAGAUGUGGAGGAACACCGAUGGCGAAGGCAGCCCCCUGGGCUGAGAUUGACGCUCAGGCACGAAAGCGUGGGGAGCAAACAGG
rnacentral:rRNA from 1 species